UACGUAGGGGGCAAGCGUUGUCCGGAUUUAUUGGGCGUAAAGAGCGUGUAGGCGGCUAUACAGGUCCGUUGUGAAAACUCGAGGCUCAACCUCGAGACGCCGAUGGAAACCAUCUGGCUAGAGUCCGGAAGAGGAGAAUGGAAUUCCCGGUGUAGCGGUGAAAUGCGCAGAUAUCGGGAAGAACACCCGUGGCGAAGGCGGUUCUCUGGGACGGUACUGACGCUGAGACGCGAAAGCGUGGGGAGCGAACAGG
rnacentral:rRNA from 1 species